GCUGGUACUGCUGCAAUUUUUCGGCCUUACUUGCUGCCCGCUCGUACACCUAUUCCACGGUUGAACCUUCCGACGGGGAGAAAGUCUCGCGCAAUGCUCCUGGGGUGGACGAUGCUCCGCGGGGGCUAGUGUAAACGUUGACAGGUUCUGUUCCUUGGACAGUCCCUGCGGUAGCCGGCUCUGCCCUUGGCAUACCACGCGAUUGGUGCUGCUCCAUUGCACUUGCACUUUUUUGGUCACAGGCACUUCGAAACACACCGCGCGUGAUUUAUUUAUUUGACUCGCGAAACUACACGUCGAACGCCGUACACGAAAUCGUUUGACGAAUUUCCAAAUUCAAUUUAUUUUGGAUUUAUCGAACCAAAUUUUUUGGAGUGUUGGGAACUAAAACCAAGGUGGAUUAAAUUUCUUGCCAAAACGAUUUAUUUCAAUAAUACGCGCCAAAAAAAAUUCCGUUUUCCGCGGAUGGUUUAGGAAAAAGGCAUGUUACGAAAAGAAAGUUCUAAGUAGGCGAGCCCUGCAACGGGUUCUACCAAACCGGGCGAAAUGUGCAGCGAGAGUAGAAAUGAUCGGGCGAACCCGAUCGUGGCCGGAACGCGAUGAACACCCAUGCGUGUGUGGGUGAGUGCUCGAGAGGCCGAAAGGGAAGAGGUUCGGGUUCGGGACAUACCUUUUUUGUAGUUUUUCACUGCUUUUCUUACUUUGCUCUAAUUGAUUAGAUUUGCUUAAGUACAUAGUUCAACUUCUUUUGCGUGAAAAUAAAGGUUAAAGCUGACCUCACAAACGCCUACUACGCGCCUCCUUGUGCUUACAAGGCACGUUCCUGUUUUGCGGCCCUUUUUAACCCUUUUCUUCGGUUUCGCUUCGAGUCUUUUUCGUUUCACGCCUACGCUCGUUUUUCAUAUCCCGUUUAUGACAGGUAGUUGGAUACCUUUGGUGAGAGGUUCCAACACAAGUAUUGUCUUCCAUAGUAUCAAUAUAAUUAAUUAUUUCACUUCUACGAGGCACAUCUAUGGAUAAAUUAUAACUUGUAUUAUUUUGCAAUAUUCAAGAAUUAUUUUGAAAAAUUAACACUGCUUCAAAUUGUUACAAAAAAUUGUACUAAUCAGUCCCUUGACAUCAGGUAGAAGCUGAUAUAAACUAUGCACUUGACAAUAGGAGGAAGCUGAUGUAAAAUAUGCAAUCUUAUUUGAUAAGAAUGUGAGUGAUAAUUACAAAUUUACACAAAUGUAUCCAUCAAUCCGGCUGUCUUUGAAAUGCCGUUGAUUCCUCUUUUUGUGAUUUUAAAAGAAGUGUUCAUAGAAAUAUUAUUCGGAAGAUAUAAAGGGUUCAGAAUAUAAUCGGAUGCCCCGCUGUCUACUAAAAAAAAGCUUUCACAUAAUUAUUUGUGUUCAGAUGAGCGAAAAAAAAUCGUUAAUGAUUGAUUAUCUUCGCUAUCAUGCGGGGGUUCCAGUUUUUCAGUAUUAUUUGUGGGUUCUGGUUGUGAUAAUGCCAUUGUCGAGACCAAAAGAUUGGGGUCUAUUUUCUGUUUUUCCUAUGUUGUGUUUAUUUUGUGAAAUUGCAGUGCAAAAAGAGAACGAAACAAAAUUCUGACUUCUUACAGGGUUUCCCACGAUUUAUUGGUUGAUUCCCAUAUAUUUUUGGUGGGUUCCCAUUUUUUUUUGUUGCGUUCUCACGAUUUGUUUGGCUGUUUCCCAGAAUUUUUUGGUCCAAUGCAUUGACAUCCAACCGAAAAAUACCAAUAAAUUAUGGGAUCGAACCAAAAAUCUAUUGGAUACGAUAAAAAAAUCGUGAAAACUGACCAAUCAAUCGUGGUAAACCCUGUAUAUAUCCCUCUUUAGAACCUGUCGUUUCUGAUGGACACAAUUCUUUCCGUUCUCAACUAACAAAACCCGCACAACGGUAGUUCUUCAUUCCGUUAAUUCAAAUUAUAUUAAUCGUAAAAUGGCGGCCACCAAAAUCCACCUCCAAAGAAUCUCUUAUAUAUCUCUCAAAAGGUAAUAGACAUACUCUGGAAGCUGGUCGUUUAUAGAUCCCUCACACUCUUUAAACGGUUACUACUCAUACCACGUUGUCCUUCCCUGGAUGAGUAUCUACGAUUCUCGCCAAAGACCACUCUCCGCUAACUUAUCCUCUUCCUUCAGCAUUACCAUCUAUCCCUCAUUCAGCUGGUGUACUACCCUAUUCUUCUGAUAAGAAUUAUGCAAUUCUCCCAUGUAUUCUACUCGCCAUUUUCGCCAAUGAUCUUGUACAAUUUGUUGUAACUGUUCUUUUAGCUUCAUCCUAUUCAUAGGAACUUUUAACACAUUCUGAUCGGGUAGUGCUAACAAUGAUGUCCGUAUAAGAAAAUGGACCAGGUGUAAGAACAUCCAUUCUAAACAUGUUAUAUUGUAUUUGACAUUCCAUGUUUCCAAUUAGUACAAUUUGCUCAAAGAACUGUCAAAUUUAGAAUAUACCGUAUACCAAGAAUGCGUAUAUAGAGUAUGGCGUAUAUCAGGAAAUAUCUGUACCCAUUAACUUACUAGCACUUAAAAGCUAUCGCGGUUGCGAGGCCUCAUGCGAGCUCGCAAACUGCUCUUAAUUUGCUUACGGGUUUUUAACGCCAGUUUAAACCGCACUUCACACCAAGCGUUAAAGUUCUGCGAACAAAAACAACAUUAUUGUAUGGGAGUUAAAAAAUUGCUAUUAAAUUAAGUUUAGUGUAACAUCUGAACAUGUAGUAAGUCUUAAAACCUAUUCUCAUGCCAUCAAGGGGUGUGUGAAAAGUUUCGUUGAAAAUGAUCCAGCCGUCUCGGAAGUUGCUGGCAAGAAACACCAUGGCACAAGAUUUUUAUAUAUUUAGAAGAAGAAGAAGAUAGAUAGAAUAUAGAUUGAAAAAAUAUUUUAUGUUUAAAAAGGAACAUUAAAAUAUGAAGUUUUUUUUGUUUUUUUUAUUUCUUUCUUUCUUUAGAAAUUUCUUUGAACUGACCUUUCGUUUCACAUUACCGACCUGUUUUUCCAGAACAUUGCGCUGCUAUGAUUGAUUUUCACCCGUGGUUCCUCUGCUGCUUACUGUUUCUUUUCUCUGUCUUGCUUGUCGAAAACUGCUCGCCGUUCGCCACUCUGUUUCAGUUGUUCUCUAAUAGGGUCGUCUCCGGUCACCAGAGGUCCGAUUUUGGCACGACACGGUGCACGGUCCGAUAACACAAUUUCAGUCGUCUUGUGAGAGAGCGAGGAUUGUAACGGCACUCACUGGAUCACAUUUCUCACUGACUACGGGGUUAUUGCAGGCGUUCAUCCAAUACGGUGGUAAUUCGCACUUUCAGUCGUCGUGUGAGAAAGCGAGUAUAGUAACGGCACUCGCUGAGUCACGUUGGAUUGAAACGGCACUCGCUGGAUCACAAUCUCACACAGUACGGGGCUGCUGCAGCUGUUCGUUCAAAACGGUGGUAAUACGCUUCUGGUGUCAUACAGCACAUGGCGUGUGCCGUAGGAUGCUCCAGCGUUGCACGUACAAUGCAAUGGUUUUAACAACUCGCUGUAUAUUUUGCUCUUUUUCGAUGGUAUUUUAGACCACACAAUGUGAGGAAUGUAACGUGACUUGCUAUGUUUGUCUUCUCUUUGGUACUAUUUUCGGUUACACAAGGGUUGUUACGACACUCGUAAGAUACUGCUUGCGUUUUUUUUACACGAGGUUUGCUUUGCGGUUUAAAACUCUGCAGGAUCGCCAUGGAAUGUUGUACAAUAAACAGACGUUGGUUCAGUGGAACGUCCCAACGGAAAAAAGAUCUGCUCGGGUUUACUCAUUUCUUUUAUACAAAUUAACACUAAGGCAGUAGUCUAAUCUUGUUGCGUGCAACAUUGUUGCUGGCAAAAUGUAUGGAUUUGACUGUUAGUGAAACUUUGUUGCCGGCCAAAUACAAAACAAUUUGAUUUUUGUCCGAUAACAUUUUUUACCUUGGUCAUAAUCAUGACGUAUGAAAUCACACAACAGCGCUGAGUGUUUUGUUGACAUCUACUUCAUUUGGAAGAAAUUGCGUGUAGGAAGAUGAAUGCCGAACUUCUCAUAACUCUUGUUGGAGAAAAAAAGAUGCUUGUGAUGCGUGAAGGACUUUCACUACAAAAACGCGCCAUUCAAGGAGAGAGUUUGGAGGGAAAUUGCCGGGCAGUUGAAUGAAGACCCUUCUAAAAUAAAACACAAGUGGCAUACUUUAAGGACGCAAUUCAGUCGAAAGCUGAAUUAAAUGAAUCAGCCAACGGGUUCAGCAGCUGCUUGUUCACCCAAAUGGAAGUAUUUUGAUCAGUUAUCUUUCCUGAGGGAUUCAUUUAAAUCAAGGGGCAAUACAUCGAAUGUUCCAUUUCGUAUGGAAUAUACUGAAGGUACAGUAUCGGACAUUAAGAUAGGACCCUUUUUUUCAAUGCACCGUGCACUUGUUUUGCCACGUUACUUGUGUU